rnacentral:rRNA from 1 species
AGAAUGUGCCUUCGGGAACCGUGAGACAGGUGCUGCAUGGCUGUCGUCAGCUCGUGUUGUGAAAUGUUGGGUUAAGUCCCGCAACGAGCGCAACCCUUAUCCUUUGUUGCCAGCGGUCCGGCCGGGAACUCAAAGGAGACUGCCAGUGAUAAACUGGAGGAAGGUGGGGAUGACGUCAAGUCAUCAUGGCCCUUACGACCAGGGCUACACACGUGCUACAAUGGCGCAUACAAAGAGAAGCGACCUCGCGAGAGCAAGCGGACCUCAUAAAGUGCGUCGUAGUCCGGAUUGGAGUCUGCAACUCGACUCCAUGAAGUCGGAAUCGCUAGUAAUCGUGGAUCAGAAUGCCACGGUGAAUACGUUCCCGGGCCUUGUACACACCGCCCGUCACACCAUGGGAGUGGGUUGCAAAAGAAGUAGGUAGCUUAACCUUCGGGAGGGCGCUUACCACUUUGUGAUUCAUGACUGGGGUGAAGUCGUAACAAGGUAACCGUAGGGGAACCUGC